rnacentral:rRNA from 1 species
CACGUAGGGGACGAGCGUUGUCCGGAUUCAUUGGGCGUAAAGCGCGCGUAGGCGGCCCUGUAAGUCCGUUGUGAAAGUCAAAGGCUCAACCUUUGAAAGCCGAUGGAUACUGCAGGGCUAGAGUCCGGAAGAGGCGAGUGGAAUUCCUGGUGUAGCGGUGGAAUGCGCAGAUAUCAGGAGGAACACCAAUAGCGAAGGCAGCUCGCUGGGACGGUACUGACGCUAAGGCGCGAAAGCGUGGGGAGCGAACAGG